GCACCGGCUAACUCCGUGCCAGCAGCCGCGGUAAUACGGAGGGUGCGAGCGUUAAUCGGAAUUACUGGGCGUAAAGACGCAUGCAGGUGGUUUGUUAAGUUCAGAUGUGAAAGACCCGGGGCGUCAACCUCGGAAUAGCAUUUGAAACUAGGCAGACUAGAGUACUGUAGAGGGGGGUAGGAAGUUUCUAGGUGUAGCGGUGAAAUAGCGUAGAGAUCUGAAGGAAUACCGGUGGCGAAGGCGGCCCCCUCGGACAGAUACUGACACUCAGAUGCGAAAGCGUGGGGAGCAAACAGGAUUAGAUACCCUGGUAG
rnacentral:rRNA from 1 species